UACGUAGGGUGCGAGCGUUAAUCGGAAUUACUGGGCGUAAAGCGUGCGCAGGCUGUUUUGUAAGACAGGCGUGAAAUCCCCGGGCUCAACCUGGGAAUGGCGCUUGUGACUGCAAAGCUAGAGUGCGGGCAGAGGGGGAUGGAAUUCCGGCGUGUAGCAGUGAAAAUGCGUAGAUAUGCGGAGGAACACCGAUGGCGAAGGGCAACUCCCCUGGGCCUGCACUGACGCUCCAAGUGCGAAAGCGUGGGGAGCAAACAGG
rnacentral:rRNA from 1 species